rnacentral:sRNA from 1 species
AUACCACUCGUACACUUCGAUUCCUCCGCACCAUUCGCACCCACCUGAUGACUGCUUGCCACUUGUGCUAGCC